rnacentral:rRNA from 1 species
UACGAAGGGUGCAAGCGUUACUCGGAAUUACUGGGCGUAAAGCGUGCGUAGGUGGUGAGUUAAGUCUGUCGUGAAAGCCCCGGGCUCAACCUGGGAAUGGCAUUUGGGACUGCAAGGCUUGAGUGCGGCAGAGGAGACUGGAAUUCCUGGUGUAGCAGUGAAAUGCGUAGAUAUCAGGAGGAAUACCGAUGGCGAAGGCAGGUCUCUGGGCUGACACGUGACGCUCAUGC